GAUUAACGCUAGCGGCAGGCAUAAUACAUGCAAGUUGAACGGCAGCACAGGUAGCAAUACUGGGUGGCGAGUGGCGCACGGGUGCGUAACACGUAUGCAACCUACCCUAUACAGGCGAAUAACCUUUAGAAAUGAGGGCUAAUACGCCGUAGUAUUACAGAUGGGCAUCUAUUUGUAAUUAAAGAUUUAUCGGUAUAGGAUGGGCAUGCGUCCCAUUAGUUAGUUGGUAAGGUAACGGCUUACCAAGACGAUGAUGGGUAGGGGAUCUGAGAGGACUUACCCCCACACUGGUACUGAGACACGGACCAGACUCCUACGGGAGGCAGCAGUACGGAAUAUUGGGCAAUGGCCGCGAGGCUGACCCAGCCAUGCCGCGUGCAGGAAGACGGCCUUAUGGGUUGUAAACUGCUUUUAUACGGGAAUAAUAGAGUGUACGCGUACAUUUAUGCAAGUAUCGUAUGAAUAAGCAUCGGCUAACUCCGUG
rnacentral:rRNA from 1 species